UAGUUGGGCAAAACCUUUAUUAAGGAGAGGAGUUAUAGAAGAAAUAGUUGAUCCAAUGCUACAAGGGACAUUUGAUUGUACACAACUUCAUAAACUUGCCUUUGCUGCUUCUCUUUGCAUUCGUGCUUCUUCUAUAUGGCGCCCUACCAUGAGCGAGAUUGUAGAGAUAAUAUUGGGAGGUGAAGUUGAUAAACAGAAGUGGAAAAUGCCAGAAGAGGAAGAAGAAGAACAAGA
rnacentral:misc_RNA from 1 species